GAUGAAGGGCGCAGUACGCGGCGAUACGCCUUGGGGAGCCGGACACAGGCCAUGAUCCAAGGAUUCCUGAAUGGGACAACCCAAGUACUUCUCAUUGAAUUCAUAGAUGAGAAAGAGAUAACCUAGUGAAUUGAAACAUCUUAGUAGCUAGAGGAAAAGAGAGCAAACGCGAUUUCCUGAGUAGCGGCGAGCGAAACGGAACGAGCCUAAACCAAAACUAUGUUUUGGGGUUGUGGGACAGAAACUAAUAUUAUAGUUUGACUUUGUUAGAUGAAGCGAUUGAAUGUCGCGCCAUAGAUGGUGAAAGCCCAGUAAUCAAAAACAAAACUCUAUAACUUCUGAUCCCGAGUAGCAUGGGGCACGUGAAAUCCCGUGUGAAUCCGCGAGGACCACCUCGUAAGGCUAAAUACUCCUAGGUGACCGAUAGCGAAUAGUACCGCGAGGGAACGGUGAAAGAGUACCCUAAUCAGGGAGUGAAAUAGAACAUGAAACCGUAUGCUUACAAGCAGUAGGAGGCAUCAUUUAAAAUGCUAACUGCGUUCCUGUUGAAGAAUGAGCCGGCGACUUAUGGUCAGUGGCAAGGUUAAAACGAAUAGUUGGAGCCAAAGCGAAAGCGAGUCUGAAAGGGCGUCUGUCAUUGGCUAUAGACCCGAACCCGGGUGAUCUAACCGCGGUCAGGAUGAAACUUGGGUAAGACUAAGUGGAGGUCCGAACCGACCGAUGUUGAAAAAUCGGCGGAUGAACUGUGGUUAGGGGUGAAAUGCCAAUCGAACUCGGAGCUAGCUGGUUCUCCCCGAAAUGCGUUGAGGCGCAGCGGUUGAUGAUUAGGCUGUCUAGGGGUAGAGCACUGUCUCGGUGCGGGCUGCGAGAGCGGUACCAAAUCGUAGCAAACUCCGAAUACUAGAACAGAGCCAUCAGCCAGUGAGACUGUGGGGGAUAAGCUCCAUUGUCGAGAGGGAAACAGCCCAGACCAUCGGCUAAGGCCCCUAAAUGAUUACUAAGUGAUAAAGGAGGUAAGAGUGCCCAGACAACCAGGAGGUUUGCCUAGAAGCAGCCACCCUUGAAAGAGUGCGUAAUAGCUCACUGGUCAAGCGCUCUUGCGCCGAAAAUGAACGGGACUAAGUAAUCUGCCGAAGCUGUGGGAUAACAAUUUGUUAUCGGUAGGGGAGCGUUCCGAAAAGGGCGAAGUUUAGGCGUGAGCCUUGAUGGACUUUUCGGAAGUGAGAAUGUCGGCUUGAGUAACGAAAACAGGGGUGAUGAAUCCCCUGCCCCGAAAGCCCAAGGGUUCCUCCACUAGGCUCGUCCAGGGAGGGUCAGUCAGGACCUAAGACGAGGCCAAACGGCGCAGUCGAUGGAAAACAGGCGAACAUUCCUGUACUACGUUCCAUAAUCUGAAACAAUUUUUGUUGAAGCACGUACCGGAGGACGGAGAGGGUUAUGUUAAACGGUGGGCACGUUCUCUAACUCGCAGUGAUUACAGAGAGGAAAAGAAAACUCUUUGAGCGAAGAGAUUAGGGCUUUACUUUUUACUUGUUAUUUCAAAAUAACAUUGUGCCACCAAUGAUAAAAAGUAAAGAUUAACAGAUACCGAGAUCCCGAGAAAAGUCCGUACUAUGUGAAAUGAAGAACGUACCUGUACCCCAAACCGACACAGGUGGGCAAGUAGAGAAUACUAAGGGGCGCGAGAUAACUCUCUCUAAGGAACUCGGCAAAAUGGCCCCGUAACUUCGGGAGAAGGGGUGCCGGAUUAUAUCCGGCCGCAGCGACCAGGCCCAAGCGACUGUUUACCAAAAACACAGGUCUCCGCUAAAUCGAAAGAUGACGUAUGGGGGCUGACGCCUGCCCAGUGCCGGAAGGUUAAGGAAGCUGGUUAGGAUUACCGAAGCUAGCGACUGAAGCCCCGGUGAACGGCGGCCGUAACUAUAACGGUCCUAAGGUAGCGAAAUUCCUUGUCGGGUAAGUUCCGACCCGCACGAAAGGCGUAACGAUUUGGGCACUGUCUCGGAGAGAGGCUCGGUGAAAUAGAAUUGUCUGUGAAGAUGCGGACUACCUGCACUUGGACAGAAAGACCCUAUGAAGCUUUACUGUAGCUUGAGAUUGGGCUCGGGCUUUUCUUGCGCAGCUUAGGUGGGAGGCUUAGAUCCUAUUCUUUUGGGAAUAGAGGAGCCGUCAGUGAGAUACCACUCUAGGAAGGCUAGAGUCCUAAGGGUGCUCCCUUUGCGGGACACCUAACAGUCUCAGGUAGGCAGUUUGACUGGGGCGGUCGCCUCCUAAAAGGUAACGGAGGCGUGCAAAGGUUCCCUCAGGCUGGACGGAAAUCAGUCGUAGAGUAUAAAGGCAGAAGGGAGCUUGACUGCGAGACUGACACGUCAAGCAGGGGCGAAAGCCGGCCUUAGUGAUCCGACGGUUCCGUGUGGAAGGGCCGUCGCUCAACGGAUAAAAGUUACUCUAGGGAUAACAGGCUGAUCUCCCCCAAGAGUUCACAUCGACGGGGAGGUUUGGCACCUCGAUGUCGGCUCAUCGCAGCCUGGGGCGGUAGUGCGUCCCAAGGGUUGGGCUGUUCGCCCAUGAAAGCGGUACGUGAGCUGGGUUCAGAACGUCGUGAGACAGUUCGGUCCAUAUCCGGUGUGGGCGCUAGAGCAUUGAGAGGAUCCCCCCCUAGUACGAGAGGACCGGGGGGUAUGCACCGCUGGUGUACCAGUUCUUUCCCUACGAUCUGUAGGUAAGGAUACGCUGGGUAGCUAUGUGUGGAGUGGAUAACUGCUGAAGGCAUCUAA
rnacentral:rRNA from 1 species